rnacentral:rRNA from 1 species
CCUACGGGAGGCAGCAGUGGGGAAUAUUGCACAAUGGGGGAAACCCUGAUGCAGCGACGCCGCGUGAGUGAAGAAGUUUUUCGGUAUGUAAAGUCCUAUCAUCAGGGAAGAUAAUGACGGUAUCUGACUAAGAAGCCCCGGCUAACUACGUGCCAGCAGCCGCGGUAAUACGUAGGGUGCAAGCGUUACCCGGAUUUACUGGGUGUAAAGGGAGCGUAGGCGGCAGCACAAGUCAGAAGUGAAAUGCCGGGGCUUAACCCUGGAACUGCAUUGGAAACUGUGAUGCUAGAGUGCAGGAGAGGUAGGUGGAAUUCCUAGUGUAGCGGUAAAAUGCGUAGAUAUUAGGAGGAACACCAAUGGCGAAGGCGGCUUACUGGACUAUAACUGACGUUGAGGCUCGAAAGCGUGGGGAGCAAACAGGAUUAGAUACCCUUGUAGUC